rnacentral:piRNA from 1 species
UGCCUGGGUGUUAAUAUUGAGUGAGUUGA